ACAAAUUACACCCACCUCUCCGUCUCCAGUUAAGCUAGCCCCAGCCUCAAAAAAAUGAGACACUACCAAAAUCAAUGCAACUGGGACUGCAGCUGCAUUAACAAAAAAUUGACAAUUGAGGAAGCACAUCACUCCCUUACUCUAUCAAUAACAUGCCCCACAGUUCAAAAGUCAAGCUUGAUCAGUAAGCUUCUGCUACUAAAUACAAGUAAAAUUAAGCUGCAGGAUCAACAGAUUUAGCAUGCAAUAUUCUAUGAAACAAGCUCUAUUUAUUAUUGUGGAACAAUCUGCCAAACCCAAUAUCUGUGUAAAUUUUAUGCAAUAAUGGGAAAGAAUGUGUCGGUCUUACACUAACUUUUAUUAAAAGGUGUUGUUAUGAUUGAUACUGCUACAAUUGUAGUACCUAUAUGGUUUUAAUGAAGGUUCAUCAGCAUUCCAGAAA